UACGAAGGGGGCUAGCGUUGCUCGGAAUCACUGGGCGUAAAGGGUGCGUAGGCGGGUCUUUAAGUCAGGGGUGAAAUCCCGGGGCUCAACCUCGGAACUGCCUUUGAUACUGCGAGUCUUGAGUCCGAUAGAGGUGGGUGGAAUUCCUAGUGUAGAGGUGAAAUUCGUAGAUAUUAGGAAGAACACCAGUGGCGAAGGCGGCCCACUGGAUCGGUACUGACGCUGAGGUGCGAAAGCGUGGGGAGCAAACAGG
rnacentral:rRNA from 1 species